rnacentral:sRNA from 1 species
ACUUAGCCCCGGUUGCAGCGAUACCCUGCAGCAACGAGGUUACGAGGUGAAGCGUAUAAGCGGAAAACGGGAGGAUGC